UACAGAGGGUGCGAGCGUUAAUCGGAAUUACUGGGCGUAAAGCGUGCGUAGACGGCUAUCUAAGUCGGGUGUGAAAGCCCCGGGCUCAACCUGGGAAUUGCAUUCGAGACUGAAUAGCUAGGGUACGGUAGAGGGAAGCGGAAUUUCCGGUGUAGCGGUGAAAUGCGUAGAUAUUCGCAAGAACACCAGUGGCGAAGGCGGCUCACUGGCCCGGUACUGACGCUGAGGUGCGAAAGCGUGGGGAGCAAACAGG
rnacentral:rRNA from 1 species